GCGGACCAUGAAUAGUCCCCAUUAUACCAACAU
rnacentral:tRNA from 1 species